UUGUCAUUUCCUUUUUCCUAGAUUACUCAGAAGUAUCAACUUCAUGAAGUCACUGCCUAUAACUAUUUGAAAAGAAAGGAGAUAUUCAUGGUGCCUUUUUAAUAAUGCUAGAGAUUACCCGCAAGUAUCAACUUCAUGAAGUCACUGCCCUUCUAUUAGAAAAGAAAGGAGAUGUUCAUGGUGCCUUCUUAACCAGGAAGCCACCCACGCCCAGCUCCUGCUGUGCCUAGAAGACCUGUCAGGAAGGACGCCAGGAGGGGGCUGCAGAACAGUGACCGACCUUGGGUCACUGCUGGGCCCAGGCAGCAAGAAGCAUCUAGUCCCUGUGGGCAGGAGGCCAGCAUAUGAACGGACAGCAGAGCAGAGCUGCUGCUGGCAGCCCCAGGCUGGCGUCUGGGCCCCGGAUGUUAGGAGCCACUGCUGCCCCCUUGGUCAUCUGAAGCCCUCUUUUCCUCCUGCCUCGGCUCAGAGUCUCUGUGACCUGGCCCCAGCCUUGCCUCUGGAUCCUGGCAUGCCAAGGCCUGGUCCGUGCCUUCCUGCCCAGCCCACAGAACCCCGGCCACCCCUCCAGCUAGGAUGAGGG